AGCAGCCGCGGUAAUUCCAGCUCCAAUAGCGUAUAUUAAAGUUGUUGCAGUUAAAAAGCUCGUAGUUGAACUUCGGGGUUCACCCAUUGGUCAGGCUUAAUUGUCUGCACUGGUGAGAUGAGUCUCUACCUUCUGAGGAACUUUCAUGCCAUUUAUUUGGUGUGAUUGGAAAUCAGGACUGUUACUUUGAAAAAAUUAGAGUGUUUAAAGCAGGCUAACGUCUGAAUACAUUAGCAUGGAAUAAUGAAAUAGGACGGACUGAUUCUAUUUCGUUGGUUUCUAGGAUCACCGUAAUGAUUAAUAGGGAUAGUUGGGGGCAUUAGUAUUCAAUUGUCAGAGGUGAAAUUCUUGGAUUUAUUGAAGACUAACUACUGCGAAAGCAUUUGCCAAGGAUGUUUUCAUUAAUCAAGAACGAAAGUUAGGGGAUCGAAGACGAUCAGAUACCGUCGUAGUCUUAACCAUAAACUAUGCCGACUAGGGAUCGGACGAAGUUAAUUUUAUAAUGACGCGUUCGGCACCUUACG
rnacentral:rRNA from 1 species